AUGAUGGUUGUCGAAGCCAACAAAAAUAAAUUCCUACUCUAAAUAAAUUGUGUAUAGUGAUUGAGCAGGGUUGUGUCCACAGAGAUCGGUAAUUAUUUAAAUCCUUUUAAAAUGUAAAACAUAAAAUGGGGGGUUUUGUUGACAAUAAUAAAAAUCAAAUUAAAAUAACAAGAAUGUAAAUUAAAGUUGUAAUUCAAAUUGGAGAAAGCUCUAGUUGAAGGAAUUAACUCAGCUUGAUUCGACUACUGAUCAUUGAUUCAAAUAUAGAUUAUUAUUACUUAUGAAUAGACCGGUUAUAGCUAUUGAGACUCUCUAAUAGCCAAUCUCUCUUUAACUAGUCGAUAACCAAGGUACGACCGUUGGAUAUUUCCCUAAUCAAUAGACAACCCUAGAUACGAUCACAGGAUUUAAUCAAUUGACAGCCUGAAAAACUAGAGAGACCCAAAUCCUAAUCAACACAUAUGAUGAUUCAUUUAAAUUAGAUUGUUUAUUCUCAUAACACAACUCACUGCUAUGUUAUUUGUCACAAACAUUAAAAUCUUCAUACGAUGAAUCCUUUAAUUGACAAUAGAUUAAGUUGAUAAUUAAAUAGUGGCCAAUUACCUAAUUAACAAACAUAAUCAUGAAACUAAUUCAGAGAAUAAACAAAUACCCAAAAAGUAAUAAAACAAUUAAAGCAUAAGAAAGAUCUCACAGUAGUGAUGAAUCAAAGCUUCAUUAACCUUCAACCAGAAAAAUAAGUUUAGUUCUUCAUAGAGAGAAGAGAAAAAUUAGAUCUAGGGUUUCUUUCUUUUUCUCCAAUCAAAAUCCCCUUUUUCACAAUAGAUUCCUGUUAGAGUGCAAUUUAUGCACUAGUUUUGCAUUGUUUACUUCCCUUAAUAUCGAUGUUUUGCAUUUAAUAAUAGUGAUUUACCUGUGAUUUACUUUUGUAGGUGCAAUUCUAUUGAUUGGUGAUAAAAUUGAGCUACAAGAUGAUGUUUAGGGAUGAUUGUUCCCUUGGAGAAAUUAUGAGCGGCAGAAGAACUUUGUUGAUAAGGCGUGGGCGCGUGCUGUCAAUUGCGGACCUGCAGUUUUUAGUUUAACGUGUUUUAUAUUUUUGGCUAUUUUUGUAAUUACGAAUUUAAUAUUUUAGAUAUUAGUAUUUUAUUUUAAAUAGAACUCUAAAAGAGAAGAGAGAGAGAGUAUUUAAGGGAGGAAUCAAUUGUGAAAAAAAGGGGGGAUUUUGGAUUGGAGAAAAAGAAACCCUAGAUCUAAUUUUUCUCUUCUCUCUAUGAGGAACUAAACCCAUUUUUCUGGUUGAAGGUUAAUGAAGCUUUGAUUCAUCACUACUAUGAGAUCUUUCUUGUGCUUUAAUUGUUUUAUUGCUUUUUGGGUAUUUGUUUAUUCUCUGAAUUAGUUUCAUGAUUAUGUUUGUUAAUUAGGUAAUUGGCCACUAUUUAAUUAUCAACUUAAUCUAUUGUCAAUUAAAGGAUUCAUCGUAUGAAGAAUUUAAUGCUUGUGACAAAUAACAUAGCAGAGAGUUGUGUUGUGAGAAUAAACAAUCUAAUUUAAAUGAAUCAUCAUAUGUGUUGAUUAGGAUUUGGGUCUCUCUGGUUUUUCAGGCUGUCAAUUGAUUAAAUUCUAUGAUCGUAUCUAGGGUUGUCUAUUGAUUAGGGAAAUAACCAACGGUCGUACCUUGGUUAUCGACUAGUUAAGGAGAGAUUGGCUAUUAGAGGGUCUCAGUAGCUAUAACCGGUCUAUCCAUGAGUAAUAAUAAUCUAUAUUUGAAUCAAUGAUCAGUAGUCGAAUCAAGCUGAGUUAAUUCCUUCAACCAGAGCUUUCUCUAAUUUGAAUUACAACUUUAAUUUGCAUUCUUAUUAUUUUAAUUUGAUUUUUAUUAUUGUCAACAAUUCCCCUAUUUUACGUUUUACGUUUCAAAAGGAUUUAAUUAAUUACCAAUCUCUGUGGACACGACCCUGCUCAAUCACUAUACACAAUUUAUUUAGAGUAGGAAUUUAUUUUUGUUGGCUUCGACACCCAUCAAAUUUUGGCGCCGUUGCCGGGGAUUGGUGUCAUUUAUUUAAUCCUUUUUACGUUUUACUUGGUGUAUGGUUCGUUCUUCUCGUACAGGUACACUUUCGUUUGAUCCUGAAAUUGAGAAGACAGCUCGCCAGCUGAGACAACAGACAAAGCGAGCUAAGCAACGAUCCUCGUCGCCUUUGCUUUCUAAAACAGAUACGGUGCCUGAUUUAGUUGAAUCAUCUAGCGAUUCAGAAGAACAAGUGAUGGAUAGACCUGCACCUGUAGAAAGAACUCUUAGAGAGUUAGCUGAACCAGACUUGAAUCAACAACCACUCUGCAUUCAAUAUGUAGACUUGGAGGUAAAUUUUGAAUUAAAGUCUGGUCUUAUUCACUUAUUACCCAAGUUUCAUGGUUUUGCAGGUGAAGAUCCUCAUAAACAUCUCAAGGAGUUUCAUGUUGUGUGCUCAAGUAUGAGGCCACAAGGUGUGACUGAAGAGCAGAUUAAGCUGCGUGCUUUUCCGUUCUCUGUAGAUGGGCUAGCUAAAGAUUGGUUGUACUACUUGCCUCCUGGAUCGAUUACAACGUGGAAUGGUUUGAAGAAGCAGUUCCUCGAGAAGUACUUUCCUGCUUCAAGAGCUGCCAACAUCAGAAAAGAUAUUUGUGGGAUCAGACAACUUCCUGGGGAGACUUUGUAUGAGUAUUGGGAGCGAUUCAAACAAUUGUGUGCCAGUUGUCCUCAGCAUCAGAUUUCUGAUCAACUUCUUAUUCAAUAUUUUUACGAAGGACUAUCAUUGAUGGAUAGGAGUAUGAUAGAUGCUGCUAGUGGAGGUGUGUUGGUGAACAAGACUCCUACUCAAGCAAGGGAGUUGAUAUCAAAUAUGGCUGCCAAUGCACAACAAUUUGGCAGCAGACAAGAUGCCACCUUAAGGAAUGUGAAUGAGGUAAAUAAUUCUUCUGUUGAACAACGUUUAGAUAAACUCACUUCUCUUGUGGAAAAGUUUGUUGUAGGUAAUGUGCAACAGGUGAAGACUUGUGGUAUUUGUUACAAUAUGGGUCAUUCAACUGAUAUGUGUCCUACACUUCAAGAAGAACCCGUUGAACAAACCAAUGCAGUUGGAGGAUUUUCAGGCAUGCCUCAGAGGAGGUAUGAUCCUUAUGCACAAACAUACAAUCCGGGAUGGAAGGAUCAUCCGAACUUCAGCUAUGGCGUUAGGCCGUCAGGAUUCCCACAACAGUAUCCACCAAGACAACCAACACCUCCACAGUCAAACUCCAAGUCAGGUAUAUCUCUUGAAGAAAUUCUUAAAUCACUUGCGACUAACACUCAACAAUUUCAGUAGGUAACUACAACAAGCAUUCAGAACUUGGAGAACCAAAUGAGUCAAUUGGCGACUACAGUAAGCCGUCUGGAGUCUCAAGUAUUAGGAAGAUUGCCUUCACAAUCUGAGGUGAAUCCAAAGCAAAACGUUAGUGCUGUCAUCCUUAGAAGUGGGAAGGAGUUGCAAGAGCCUAGUAAGAAAGUGACAAAGCAUGUAGAAGAUGAGCUUGAGAAGAAUGAAUUGAUACCUAAAUCUCAAGAUGCACAACCCACCAGAGCGAAACCCCUACCUAUUGUGAUACCUCCUCCUUUUCCAAGCCGAUUUGCAAAAUCCAAGAAGGAGGAACAAGAGAAAGACAUCCUUGAGACAUUUCGCAAGGUUGAGGUAAAUAUUCCUUUAUUAGAUGCUAUAAAACAAAUACCUCGAUAUGCUAAAGUCCUUAAGGAACUGUGCACCUCCAAAAGAAAAUUAAGAGGAGAUGAAAAAGUUCACAUGGGGGAGAAUGUUUCAGCAGUUCUUCAAAAGAAACUACCUCCUAAGUGCAAGGAUCCAGGUAUGUUUACUAUCCCUUGUAAAAUUGGUAGUGUUAGAGUUGAAAAGGCUUUGUUAGAUCUAGGAGCUUCUAUUAAUGUCAUGCCUCGUUCCAUUUAUUCAUCUUUGAAUAUUGGUCCAUUAAAAGAAACUGGUGUGAUAAUUCAACUAGCUGAUAGGUCUAAUGCAUAUCCUGAUGGGGUAUUAGAAGAUGUCUUAGUACAAGUUAAUGAGUUGGUUUUUCCUGCUGAUUUUUAUGUACUUGAUAUGGAAGAUGAUAACUCCUCUAAUUCUAUCCCAAUUUUGCUAGGAAGACCUUUUCUUAAGACUGCUAGGACUAAAAUGGAUAUACAUAAAGGGACUUUCACUAUGGAGUUUGAUGGAGAGGUUAUAGAAUUCAAUAUGAAUGAUGCCAUGAAAUAUCCAGUGAGGAACAUUCGGUAUUUUCUGUGGAUGUUAUUAACCCUAUAGCGCAGGAAAUUUUUUACAAGGAAAAGACGAAGACAUUUCAUGAUAGAAUGAUUUUGAGAAAGGAGUUCUCUGUUGGUCAAAAAGUUCUUCUUUUUCAUUCUAAGCUUAAAUUUUUUCCGGGUAAAUUACGUUCUUGUUGGGUUGGACCUUUUAUUGUUACUAAUGUUUUUCCUUAUGGUGCAGUUGAGAUUCGGAGCCCGACCUCUGACAAAGUUUUUAAGGUUAAUGGUCAUCGCUUAAAACCUUUUUAUGAAGGUUUUUCGGUGAAUAUUGUGGAGGAUGUGGCUCUCGAGAGUCCCAAUUAUGGAGAUUGAUGCAUAAAUGUGUCUAGCCAAAGACAUAAAACAAAGGAGGCAACCUAAAUGAUUUGUUUGUUUUGGUUUUUGUUAUAUCUUCUUUUAAUUUUGAUUCAAAAAAAAAAGAGAAAAAAAAGAAAAAAAAGAAAAAUUUUGCUUAUUUUGGUCAGAAGAAAAUUUUUGAUAAGGCGUGCCCACGUCUUAGCUAAUAAGUACUUCUGUAAUUUUUAAAGUAACAUAGUUUUAAGGCGUGCCCACGUACUUAAUAGAAAAGUACUUCUGAAAUUUAAUGUGUUUGCUUAUUUUGGUCAGAAGAAAAUUUUUUAUAAGGCGUGCCCAUGUACUUAUUAGAAAAGUACUUCUGAAAUUUUUAGUGUCUCAAAGUGAUUCAUCACUAAAAAAACAAAAAAAAAGAGUUUUUUUUCCUUAUUUUCUUUUCUUAUAUAUAUAUUUUUUAUUUAUUUAUAAAAAAACGAAAAAAAGAAGAAGUUUUUUUUCCUUCUUUUCUUUCUUAUAUAUAUAUAUAUAUUUUUUUCUUUAUUUAUUUAAAAAAAACACAAAAAAAAACACAAAAAUCACAAAUCACUGUUCACAAAUCCCUAAUUCAAAAAAAAUUCACUGUUGAUUAUCGUUUUCCCGCAGCAACCCUCAGCUCCAGCGCGCAGAACCAACAGCAGCCGCAUCAGUCCCACCUGCAACGCAACCAGCCCGGGCGCAGAAAGCUCCAACCAUUACCAUCGCGCAGCGCAUCAUUCUCGCGCGCGCAACGCAGCCGAGCAGUAGCAGACGAGCAUGCCCCGCAACGCAGAUCCUCAGCUCCAGCUCGCGCGCGCAGCGCAAAUCAAUCCAGUCGUCACCAUCGCGCAGCGCAUCAGUCCCGCGUGUGCAACGCAACCAUUAGUACCAGCAUCCCGCGUCCAACAAGCAGCAACCCGCGCACGCAGAUCCAGCCUUCGCCCAGCAGCGCGCAAAACCAGCGUCAGCCCAGCUCUCGCGCGCAACACAACCCACGCAACGCGCAGAUCCAGCAGCCCCAGCGCGCGCGCGUAACACAAUCAGCUCCAUCCCGCGUCCAUCAAGCAAGCUCCAGCCGAGCAGCAAUCGCAACGCAACCAUAGACGUUAUGUGGAUCAAAGCUCACAAUUCAGGGAAGUUUUUUUUUGCCUUUAAUCUUUUAUCCUUACGCUUUAAAUUUUAUGUGAGCUUUGAUUAUUUUACAUUGGGGACAAUGUAAGUUCUUGGUGUGGGGGAGGGAUUUUUGCAUUAUUGAUGUCUGGAAUUAUUGUUUUCACUCUACUUAUCUUUUUUUCACUUUACUCAUCCUUAAAUGAUUUUGGAGUUAGUAUGCUUUAUAUAUUAUUAAUUUUCUUUUCCUUUAUCUCUCACUACUCUUUAUGCUUUAUAUAUUAUUAAUUUUCUUUUCCUUUAUCUCUCACUACUCUUUUCCCAUCUAUCUCACAUUAUUUACAUCUAUUUUUUUUUUCUAUCAUACUUUUUCAUCACUCACAUUUUAUCUUUCAAUUUUCUUUUUACUACAUACAUCUUUCUCGCUUAUUAUCCUUUUUACCUUUCCUUUUAUUUCUCACUCAUACCUUCUUCUCAUUCUACACCACUAUUGAUGGUUGAUUCAUUUGAAGAGUGUACAUGAUUUGAUGGCAAAUUUACCAACUUUGUGAGGAUUUGAGCCUAUGAGCAACCACUUUGCUAUAAUUAUUUUUGUUAUGUGAAUAUCAAUCCUAGUUUGUUUAUUAUAGAACUUGCUUUGUUAUGCAUGUUGAAGCCACAUUACGGGAUUUUAUGCAUUAAAAUGAUAAGGGCAAACCAUUUACCAUUUUUCUAUUCUUGCAUUUUCCUUUUUCUCUACCCGAAAACCUUUAAUUGCUACCUUUGUUUGAGCCUUAACCAUUACCCAUCUAAUUCUCUCCAUCUACUUAACCAUUUUUCUUCUUUUUGAGCCUCAAUUUAAGGAGAUUUUUGGACUCAUUGUGUGGAUAUAUUUUGUUGCUUUUUCUACCUUGUAAUAAAGUUUCUCAAUUAGAUCAACAAGCAUUAUGCUUGAAUUAAAUUGUGCAAGGUUCGUUUCUUUUGUUUGAUUCAAAAAAAAAAUAAAAAAAAGAAAAAAAAACAACAAAAAAAAAAGAAAAAAAAAAUUUGAAAAAAAAAAUCGAAAAAAAAAAGUUUACAUUCUUGGUGACUUGAGUAGAAAUAAGCAUUUUGAUAUCAUAAGUUCAUUCAAUGAGUUCAUUCUUCUCGUUUUGAUCUCUUUUUCUUUCAUAAACCUUUCUUUUUCAUUUCUCCAAUUUAACCCCAUUACAACCCUUUUAAGACCCUUAGAUUUUUGCAUUUUAUUCAUGUUUUGUGGAUUGAGAUGUGAUAUAUGGGCAAGCUUAUGGUAAUAGCAUUCUUUGAUUUGAUUUGAGUGGAUAAAUGACACCCUAAACACUUUGAGUGCAUGGAGUGAAGUUAUUGAGAGGGCUAUUAAAUCUUGCUGCACUUGAGUUUUGAAUGGAUCUUCUUGGUGGUUGAAUGUUCUUAUUCUAUCUUACGAAAUUCUAUGCUUUAAAAUCCUUGUCUCUCGAACGUUGAACGACUUAAUUUCUUGAGGUAUGCUUGCUUAAAAUUGUUUUUGGAUGAGUUGAGAUGAGAAUUGAGUGGAAAUUUGAGAUUAAUCUUGAGUUAUAUGCUUGAGGACAAGCAUCAUCUUGGUGUGGGGGAAUUUGUUAGAGUGCAAUUUAUGCACUAGUUUUGCAUUGUUUACUUCCCUUAAUAUCGAUGUUUUGCAUUUAAUAAUAGUGAUUUACCUGUGAUUUACUUUUGUAGGUGCAAUUCUAUUGAUUGGUGAUAAAAUUGAGCUACAAGAUGAUGUUUAGGGAUGAUUGUUCCCUUGGAGAAAUUAUGAGCGGCAGAAGAACUUUGUUGAUAAGGCGUGGGUGCGUGCUGUCAAUUACGGACUUGCAGUUUUUAGUUUAACGUGUUUUAUAUUUUUGGCUAUUUUUGUAAUUACGAAUUUAAUAUUUUAGAUAUUAGUAUUUUAUUUUAAAUAGAACUCUAAAAGAGAAGAGAGAGAGAGUAUUUAAGGGAGGAAUCAAUUGUGAAAAAAAGGGGGGAUUUUGGAUUGGAGAAAAAGAAACCCUAGAUCUAAUUUUUCUCUUCUCUCUAUGAGGAACUAAACCCAUUUUUUUGGUUGAAGGUUAAUGAAGCUUUGAUUCAUCACUACUGUGAGAUCUUUCUUGUGCUUUAAUUGUUUUAUUGCUUUUUGGGUAUUUGUUUAUUCUCUGAAUUAGUUUCAUGAUUAUGUUUGUUAAUUAGGUAAUUGGCCACUAUUUAAUUAUCAACUUAAUCUAUUGUCAAUUAAAGGAUUCAUCGUAUGAAGAAUUUAAUGCUUGUGACAAAUAACAUAGCAGAG
rnacentral:lncRNA from 1 species